AGAUGAAAACAUUGGUGUGGACAUCAUGAGGGUGUGUGGUUUGCUCUCCUGCUUUUGCUUAACUGGCCAGCAAGUGAACUGGGAGUAAGCAGGUCAGCUCAGGAACAAAGAAGAAGGACCUGAAGAGAUCAAAGUAACAGUAAGUGUCACAAAAAUUAUUUUUCUUAACAUGUAAAAACAGCAAAUGCCCCAUUUUGUAACCUGGAAGAAGUGGACUUCAGGCUGUGUUCCUCCAGACACAAACAGGCAUCCUUUGGAGCAGGUUCACAGACAUCUCUUAUCUCCAUAAAACUCCUAGAGAGCAUCCAGAGGAGGGCUAAGAAGAUGGUGAAGGUUCUGGAGGAUUCUUUCCAACUCAAGGUAUUCUGUGAUCCUAAAAGAGGGGCAGCAGCCAGCAAGGAUGGAAUCAUCACAAAGGGGAGAAAUUGCACUUAAUGGGAGGCAGCCAGGGUGCUUGGUGCACUUAUCACACUUGCCUGCAUCAUACUGCUUUCUCCUCUGCCUCUGCUUUUCCACAUGAGGACUCUGCUACGUGAAGGCCAAGGUAAGAGGAGGUGACUGCUUUUGAACAAAGAAUGUGUGGUGCUGAGUUUUCCCAAGGAGAUGGGCAAAGCCUAUGGCAUGGAGCAGGAGGAGCUGAGGGCAGUGGAGCUUCUACCCUGUAGAACAGGGAACUCCUGAAGUUGCCAGUCCUACAACAAGUGUUUAGAGGAAGCUGAUUGGGCUGGGGGCUUUCACAAAACACAUGUCCAAACUAGAAGUGUCUGAGAGUGCACCAGCAGUUCGUUGUGAAGCUGACAAAAGCCACAGGCAUGCAGUACUAGGCAGGACAAAGCAGUGCCUGAGGUCUCU
ensembl:lncRNA